GAUUAUUUUUAUGAUUACUACUUGUAAGUCAGAGAGGGGUUCCAAAGCGCUAACAUUGAUUAUUUAUUUACAUUUUUAUUUUUUCAUUGUAAUUUUCCCUUAACCGGAAAGACACCCCCCCCCCCUCUACCACGCCCCCUUACCUAUCGGAGCACCGAGAUGCGGGCAGGAGGACGACCACAGCUCUGAACGAUAAACACUUUUUUUUUUUUUUUUUUUUUUUAACGUUCAUUUAAUACUUACUUUAAUUUCGUAAUAACUUAAUACCUGCUAGCGCCUUGGGAGAUUUCGGCUUGUUUUGGAAACCUUCGAGGCACACAUUUCAAGAAACAAGUCACAAAGGUUGUUUUUGCUCAUCUGGAGAAAUGGUGCCAGCUGUUCUGAAGCUUUACUUCUUCGGAAGCGCCGUGGCCAUCUUCGCCUUCAUCUUCAGCCUGGCCGACUCGGUCGGCGGUCUUAUGUACGUCCACGACCACCGCUGGAUGCUGGAGAUGGAAAGAGGUCCCGCGCCGAGGCAUCGUGGGGGUCAUCUUAAAAAUGUAACGGAAGAGUACUACUGAAAAUUGCUGAGCCAAAGACAGAAUUGUACUGUGCAGUGGUUGAUACAUCACAGCAUAUCAACGAAUGUGUCAUGCAAGCUGCAUGGAGGAAUGACUUUAGAAUCAAUAUUUUAGCAUAAUGGUUGCAUGAUUAAAAACAAAUCAUGCUAACUGGAAAGGCUGGCCUCCCUGACAAUUGUUUGUCGGUUUGUGUAUUUGUAUUUCAAAUGCGUGCCUGUGAUGACGAAUCUCGGCGAGCAUCUCCAUUGUCACGUAUUAAAAUGAACGGUAAAUGUGUGAAGCCUAAAAAAAAAAAAAAAACAGACGAUUUCAUUCUCGACCUUGUGUUGUUUGACUUCUUGUUACUGUGUAGAAUAAACAUUCUUUGAAUAAAA